AUUGGCACUUAUCAAUCACGAAUUUGGCCAUUGUCACUCUGCAACUUCUGCCUAUUAUUAAUGUGUGUAAUGUGUGUGUGUAUAGAUAGACAGAUAG